rnacentral:rRNA from 1 species
UUGGAGGGCAAGUCUGGUGCCAGCAGCCGCGGUAAUUCCAGCUCCAAUAGCGUAUAUUAAAGUUGUUGCAGUUAAAAAGCUCGUAGUUGAAUUUCGGGGUUCUACCGUUGGUCGGGCUUUGUCUGUACUGGUGUGUAGAAUUUCUACCUUCUGGGGAACCAUCAUGCUAUUAAUUUAGCGUGGUGGGAAACUAGGACCUUUACCUUGAAAAAAUUAGUGUGUUCAAAGCAGGCUUAUGUCUGAAUACAUUAGCGUGGAAUAAUAGAAUAGGACGGUGGUCCUGGUUUGUUGGUUUCUGAAUCACCGUAAUGAUUAAUAGGGAUAGUUGGGGGCAUUAGUAUUCAAUUGUCAGAGGUGAAAUUCUUGGAUUUAUUGAAGACUAACUUCUGCGAAAGCAUUUGCCAAGGAUGUUUUCAUUAAUCAAGAACGAAAGUUAGGGGAUCGAAGACGAUCAGAUACCGUCGUAGUCUUAACCAUAAACUAUGCCGACUAGGGAUCGGACGAUGUUAAUUUUUCUUGACUCGUUCGGCGCCUUACGGGAAAC